GACGAACGCUGGCGGCGUGCUUAACACAUGCAAGUCGAACGGAAAGGCCCCUUUGGGGGUCCUCGAGUGGCGAACGGGUGAGUAACACGUGAGUAACCUGCCCUUGACUUCGGGAUAACUUCAGGAAACUGGGGCUAAUACCGGAUAGGAAUCCUUGCUGCAUGGUGGGGGUUGGAAAGCUUCGGCGGUUUUGGAUGGACUCGCGGCUUAUCAGCUUGUUGGUGGGGUAGUGGCUUACCAAGGCUUUGACGGGUAGCCGGCCUGAGAGGGCGUCCGGCCACAUUGGGACUGAGAUACGGCCCAGACUCCUACGGGAGGCAGCAGUGGGGAAUAUUGCACAAUGGGCGGAAGCCUGAUGCAGCAACGCCGCGUGCGGGAUGACGGCCUUCGGGUUGUAAACCGCUUUCAGCAGGGGCGAAGCUUGUGGUGACGGUACCUGCAGAAGAAGCACCGGCUAACUACGUG
rnacentral:rRNA from 1 species